rnacentral:rRNA from 1 species
UACAGAGGUCUCAAGCGUUGUUCGGAAUCACUGGGCGUAAAGCGUGCGUAGGCUGUUUCGUAAGUCGUGUGUGAAAGGCGCGGGCUCAACCCGCGGACGGCACAUGAUACUGCGAGACUAGAGUAAUGGAGGGGGAACCGGAAUUCUCGGUGUAGCAGUGAAAUGCGUAGAUAUCGAGAGGAACACUCGUGGCGAAGGCGGGUUCCUGGACAUUAACUGACGCUGAGGCACGAAAGCGUGGGUAUCGAACAGG